UGCAGGCUUUCUCUGUUGGGGAGAAGGGCUGUUGUUUGCUUUUUUGUCAGCUCUGCGCUGCAACUGCCAGUCCCACUCCCAAAAUUCCAUACGGACGAAGAUUCCUCCCAGACCAGAGGUGCCUGCCCAGGAAGCUCUUGCUAGAAAAUGCAUAGGGA